rnacentral:rRNA from 1 species
UGGGGAAUUUUGGACAAUGGGCGCAAGCCUGAUCCAGCCAUGCCGCGUGAGUGAAGAAGGCCUUCGGGUUGUAAAGCUCUUUCGGUGGGGACGAAAAGGUUCGUGCUAAUACCGCGAACUAAUGACGGUACCCGAAGAAGAAGCACCGGCUAACUACGUGCCAGCAGCCGCGGUAAUACGUAGGGUGCAGGCGUUAAUCGGAAUUACUGGGCGUAAAGCGUGCGCAGGCGGUUUGUUAAGACAGAUGUGAAAUCCCCGGGCUUAACCUGGGAACUGCGUUUGUAACUGGCAAGCUAGAGUGUGGCAGAGGGGGGUGGAAUUCCAAGUGUAGCAGUGAAAUGCGUAGAUAUUUGGAGGAACACCAAUGGCGAAGGCAGCCCCCUGGGUCAACACUGACGCUCAUGCACGAAAGCGUGGGGAGCAAACAGGAUUAGAUACCCGGGUAGUCCCUGAGCGGGCUGGCAAGGCGCAU